AUUGAACGCUGGCGGCAGGCCUAACACAUGCAAGUCGAACGGUAACAGGAAGCAGCUUGCUGCUUUGCUGACGAGUGGCGGACGGGUGAGUAAUGUCUGGGAAACUGCCUGAUGGAGGGGGAUAACUACUGGAAACGGUAGCUAAUACCGCAUAACGUCGCAAGACCAAAGAGGGGGACCUUCGGGCCUCUUGCCAUCGGAUGUGCCCAGAUGGGAUUAGCUAGUAGGUGGGGUAACGGCUCACCUAGGCGACGAUCCCUAGCUGGUCUGAGAGGAUGACCAGCCACACUGGAACUGAGACACGGUCCAGACUCCUACGGGAGGCAGCAGUGGGGAUUUUUUGUAUUUUUGGGCGCAAGCCUGAUGCAACCAUGCCGCUUGUAUGAAGAAGGCCCUCCGCUUGUAAGGCCUUCUCAUCGGGGAGUAACGGAAUAAAGUUCUCCCUUUUGUUUUUGGCCUUUUCCCACCAAA
rnacentral:rRNA from 1 species